rnacentral:ncRNA from 2 species
UUACCUGAAACCCUGUUUGGUGCCCGCAGAUGCGCAAAGCGCAGGGCUCAAUCGGGAACGGGGAAGGGUGGACCAAGUUGCGGCACCCGAAGCCCCGGCCGCCCCCGCGACUGUAUGCGGUGAGCGCGCUCCGACAAGACCACUGGGGGUUGCCCCCGGGAAGGUGGAGUGGCGCUUCGACCCGCGAGCCAGGAGACCGGCCAGCAGCCACAUCAACCG